CACGUAGGGCGCAAGCGUUGUCCGGAAUUAUUGGGCGUAAAGAGCUCGUAGGUGGUUUGUUACGUCUGCUGUGAAAUCCUAGGGCUUAACCCUGGGCUUGCAGUGGAUACGGGCAGACUAGAGGUAGGUAGGGGAGAAUGGAAUUCCUGGUGUAGCGGUGAAAUGCGCAGAUAUCAGGAGGAACACCGGUGGCGAAGGCGGCUCUCUGGGACGGUACUGACGCUGAGACGCGAAAGCGUGGGGAGCGAACAGG
rnacentral:rRNA from 1 species